AUUGAACGCUGGCGGCAUGCCUUACACAUGCAAGUCGAACGGUAACAGGUCUUCGGAUGCUGACGAGUGGCGAACGGGUGAGUAAUACAUCGGAACGUGCCCGAGAGUGGGGGAUAACGAGGCGAAAGCUUUGCUAAUACCGCAUACGAUCUCAGGAUGAAAGCAGGGGACCGCAAGGCCUUGCGCUCACGGAGCGGCCGAUGGCAGAUUAGGAAGUUGGUGGGAUAAAAGCUUACCAAGCCGACGAUCUGUAGCUGGUCUGAGAGGACGACCAGCCAGACUGGGGCUGAGACACGGCCCAGACUCCUACGGGAGGCAGCAGUGGGGAAUUUUGGUCAAUGGGCGCAAGCCUGAUCCAGCAAUGCCGCGUGCAGGAUGAAGGCCUUCGGGUUGUAAACUGCUUUUGUACGGAACGAAAAGCCCUGGGUUAAUACCCUGGGGUCAUGACGGUACCGUAAGAAUAAGCACCGGCUAACUACGUGCCAGCCGCCGCCGUAACAC
rnacentral:rRNA from 1 species